AUUGAACGCUGGCGGCAUGCCUUACACAUGCAAGUCGAACGGCAGCACGGGAGCAAUCCUGGUGGCGAGUGGCGAACGGGUGAGUAAAGUAUCGGAACGUGCCCAGUCGUGGGGGAUAACGUAGCGAAAGUUACGCUAAUACCGCAUACGAUCUAUGGAUGAAAGCGGGGGAUCGCAAGACCUCGCGCGAUUGGAGCGGCCGAUAUCAGAUUAGGUAGUUGGUGGGGUAAAGGCUCACCAAGCCGACGAUCUGUAGCUGGUCUGAGAGGACGACCAGCCACACUGGGACUGAGACACGGCCCAGACUCCUACGGGAGGCAGCAGUGGGGAAUUUUGGACAAUGGGCGCAAGCCUGAUCCAGCCAUGCCGCGUGCAGGAUGAAGGCCUUCGGGUUGUAAACUGCUUUUGUACGGAACGAAAAGGCUUGGCUUAAUACGUUGAACUCAUGACGGUACCGUAAGAAUAAGCACCGGCUAACUACGUGCCAGCCGCCGCCGUAA
rnacentral:rRNA from 1 species